rnacentral:rRNA from 1 species
AGUGAACGCUGGCGGUAGGCCUAACACAUGCAGGUCGAACGGCAGCACAGUAAGAGCUUGCUCUUACGGGUGUCGAGUGGCGGACGGGUGAGGAAUACAUCGGAAUCUACUUUUUCGUGGGGGAUAACGUAGGGAAACUUACGCUAAUACCGCAUACGACCUACGGGUGAAAGCAGGGGAUCUUCGGACCUUGCGCGAUUGAAUGAGCCGAUGUCGGAUUAGCUAGUUGGCGGGGUAAAGGCCCACCAAGGCGACGAUCCGUAGCUGGUCUGAGAGGAUGAUCAGCCACACUGGAACUGAGACACGGUCCAGACUCCUACGGGAGGCAGCAGUGGGGAAUAUUGGACAAUGGGCGCAAGCCUGAUCCAGCCAUACCGCGUGGGUGAAGAAGGCCUUCGGGUUGUAAAGCCCUUUUGUUGGGAAAGAAAAGCAGCAGGUUAAUACCCCGCUGUUCUGACGGUACCCAAAGAAUAAGCACCGGCUAACUUCGUG